UACGGAGGGUGCAAGCGUUGUCCGGAUUUAUUGGGUUUAAAGGGUGCGUAGGCGGCUUGUUAAGUCCGGGGUGAAAGCCCACUGCUCAACAGUGGAACUGCCCUGGAUACUGGCAAGCUUGAGUCCAGACGAGGUUGGCGGAAUGGAUGGUGUAGCGGUGAAAUGCAUAGAUACCAUCCAGAACCCCGAUUGCGAAGGCAGCUGACUAGGCUGGUACUGACGCUGAGGCACGAAAGCGUGGGGAGCGAACAGG
rnacentral:rRNA from 1 species